GAGAAACUGUAUAAGGACUAAACAACGCUCCUUGACAGCGAUGGAUGAGGUAUCAACCUAAGAGACGCUGUAGGGCUGAGGGUGAGGAACAGACUUCAACCCUAGACGGGAUAGAGUAGCCAUCGAAACCGCAUUAAUGCAGCUACCACUAUCCACGAUAACUUUACAGCCCUUAUUAUUAAUCUUGAUGUAAGUGUGGAAGAUGGCAUGACGGCGCCAAUCAUCGGCAUCCCUAGGCUGGGUAAGAGUACAACGGACGACACCGACUCUAGGCGUAUGUGGGAUAAGGGGACUAGCCUGAAUACAACCCAAGAAGGUAUCUUCACUAUCCUCCAAGUCAUCAAACUCUUAUAACUUAGACUUAUAAACCUGAUCCUCUAGUGGCUC
rnacentral:lncRNA from 1 species